CGCUAUGGCCUAUGGGGUUUGGAGUAUGGUAUGGCCAUUCUUCAAUUUUAUGCCGAAAAUGAAGGGGACAAAGGAGUAAAGAAGAUACAUUGUUUCUCCAAAGGCAAUCUUAAUAUUAUAACAAUCAUGUAUACAAAAUAAGAAUUGAAGGCUGAAAACAUGUCUGUCUGUCUCUGAGAAGCUGAAGCUGAAGUUGUGAUGCGCUGCCGUUGAGAUAAAAGGGUAUCUUGAACAAGUGGCGCAUAUUAGCUGGCAUGACCCCUAACGCCUAUCACUCACACAAAAAUAUAUUAAUGCAACAAAUCCAAACCCUCUAUAUAUAAACUACUGUGAUGGCAUCUUCCUUCAUCUUCAUAUCCACCAUACACACUUAGCCUUCUUAGAUCAUUGAAAACUAAAACAAUGAACAACAGGGUGAGGGUGGUUCGUGUUGCUCCGGCAUACGGUGGCAACAGGUUGGGAGGGAAAAAGCCACUUCCAAAAAGAGGGCAGAUCAAAUCAAAGAUUGCAGCGAAUGCAUUUCAUUCCAUCAUCUCUGUCAUCUCUAGGGCAGGAGCCUCUUCUUCAUCUGCCAUACAUUCUCCAAGGAAAUGUUGAAAAUUAAAUCCAUUCCAAAUCCAUGCAUAAUUCAAGGAUAUUUCUUCACUUUCUUGCAUGUUCGUAUGUAUAUUGUAGCUAGGCUAGGUACUAGGUAGCUACUUCAUUUUCUUUUUGCUUUCGGUCACUGUAAUGUCUUUUUUUUGGAGUGUUUAUGGACAUGGGCCAUUUCUUUGGUUUUGAGA